AUGUAGUUAUAAUUUCUAGAUUGUAUACAAAAAAUUGUGUUCUUUUAUGAAAUAUUAAGCAAGUUAUAAAAUAUCACCCCAAUGAUUGUUUCACUCCCUUUCUUCGUUUUCUAUUGUCAGUCUAAUUUAAGCGAAAUGUGAGGCCACAAUAAUCUACAACAGCGGAGUAUAUUCAUUUGGUGUUCAUGUUGACAUGAAGUACGAAUAUACAAUCAUACAAUGUUACAUGGUUUCACGACAAUUUCAACAGACUAUAAUUAUAAAAUAUGCAUUUUUAAUGCACACAUUGGACUUCAAUGGAUUCGACAAUAAAAUAUAUUACUAUUAACAAGGUAAGACGGUGUUUGUCUUGUUUUACUAGACAAACUCGACUCCUCUGCUCCCUGUGGUUUUUAGAGUAAGAAAGCUGUUACUAAAAACCCCCCAAAAAAGGCCUUCUACAAAAACAUUUUUCAUCAGAAACAAAAUUUAAUAAUCACACAGAGUCAAAAUAGGGACUGUUUUGCACAAGCUAUCAAAGUUUCAAGAAAUUUGGUGCACGCGUAGGCAAACGCGAGAUCUUCAAAACCUGGAUUUUCUCCCAUUUUGUUAGUUCAAACGCGACUUUCUUUGCAUGAUUUCAAAUUAAUUUUAUGCAUGCGUAUAAGACGUUUCGAGCCAUUCGUCGUGAAAUUAGUACGUAGCCAUUAGUACGUAGCCAUCAGUAGUAGAUCUUGACUAAAAGUACACAGUGAAAUGUACAAAUCUGCACAUGGGCGUACCGGAAGGAAAAAAUUAGGGGGGCGGAAAGAAAUUUGGCCGACUUUUUCGCAUUGUGCCCGACCAGUGCCGAAAAAUUAUUUUCCGGAACAAUUAAUUUUGGCGACCUACCCCCUCCCCCCCCCCCACGUCGCCAGAAAAAUUUCGGUCAGUGUACCAUUUUAGGGGUUAAAAAAUUUUUCGGACAUACAAAAAUUUUUCGGAACAUAAAAAAAAUUUCCAAAAAUCUAAAAAUUGACAGAGUUUCCCACAAAAUUGACAGAAUUUGUCCCAUUUAUUUUUAUAAUAACCAAAUAUUGCCCAACUGGCUUUGUUUGCCCAACAAACUGGGGUUAUUAUUAAGAGAGAUUUGAUUGCUUUCACUACUUUUUUGGCUUUUUAAUUUCCCACUCUUCGCCCGACUUAUGUUGAACAUUUGCCCGACUUUUCGACUUUGUAAUCUUUUGGGGGGGCAGCUGCCCCCCUGCCCCGUACGCCUAUGAAUCUGUAUCACAUCAU